GGGUUGUGAGGUUAAGCGACUAAGCGUACACGGUGGAUGCCCUGGCAGUCAGAGGCGAUGAAGGACGUGCUAAUCUGCGAUAAGCGCCGGUAAGGUGAUAUGAACCGUUAUAACCGGCGAUUUCCGAAUGGGGAAACCCAGUGUGAUUCGUCACACUAUCAUUAACUGAAUCCAUAGGUUAAUGAGGCGAACCGGGGGAACUGAAACAUCUAAGUACCCCGAGGAAAAGAAAUCAACCGAGAUUCCCCCAGUAGCGGCGAGCGAACGGGGAGGAGCCCAGAGCCUGAAUCAGCAUGUGUGUUAGUGGAAGCGUCUGGAAAGGCGCGCGAUACAGGGUGACAGCCCCGUACACAAAAGCGCAUGUGCUGUGAGCUCGAUGAGUAGGGCGGGACACGUGGUAUCCUGUCUGAAUAUGGGGGGACCAUCCUCCAAGGCUAAAUACUCCUGACUGACCGAUAGUGAACCAGUACCGUGAGGGAAAGGCGAAAAGAACCCCGGCGAGGGGAGUGAAAAAGAACCUGAAACCGUGUACGUACAAGCAGUGGGAGCACAGGUUUACCUGUGUGACUGCGUACCUUUUGUAUAAUGGGUCAGCGACUUAUAUUCUGUAGCAAGGUUAACCGUAUAGGGGAGCCGGAGGGAAACCGAGUCUUAAC
rnacentral:rRNA from 1 species